GUCGAGGGGCAGCAUGGGGGAGUAGCAAUACUCUCUGAUGGCGACCGGUGCAAGGGUGCGUAACGCGUGAGCAACUUGCCCUCAUCAGGGGAAUAAUCGCUGGAAACGGCGUCUAAUGCCCCAUGGUGAUGUCCUCAGGCAUCUGAGGUCAUCUAAAGAUCCGUCGGAUGGGGAUAGGCUCGCGUGACAUUAGCUAGACGGCGGGGUAACGGCCCACCGUGGCGACGAUGUCUAGGGGUUCUGAGAGGAAGGUCCCCCACACUGGAACUGAGACACGGUCCAGACUCCUACGGGAGGCAGCAGUGAGGAAUAUUGGUCAAUGGCCGGAAGGCUGAACCAGCCAUGCCGCGUGAAGGUCAGUGCCCUAUGGGCGUUAAACUUCUUUUGUGCGGGAGCAAUAAUGGUCACGUGUGGCCAGACGAGAGUACCGUACGAAUAAGCAUCGGCUAACUCCGUGCCAGCAGCCGCGGUAAUACGGGGGAUGCAAGCGUUAUCCGGAUUUAUUGGGUUUAAAGGGUGCGUAGGCUGUGAGGUAAGUCAGCGGUGAAAUGCCCCCGCUCAACGGGGUGAAGUGCCAUUGAUACUGCCUUGCUGGAAUGCGGAUGCCGUGGGAGGAAUGUGUGGUGUAGCGGUGAAAUGCAU
rnacentral:rRNA from 1 species